CUUUGUCUUUAAUUGAUCUGACGAGCUUGCUCUGAUUUGAUUUUAUCUGACAAAGAGUGGCGAACGGGUGAGUAACACGUGGGUAACCUACCUCUUAGCAGGGGAUAACAUUUGGAAACAAGUGCUAAUACCGUAUAAUACCAACAACCGCAUGGUUGUUGGUUGAAAGAUGGUUCUGCUAUCACUAAGAGAUGGACCCGCGGUGCAUUAGCUAGUUGGUAAGGUAACGGCUUACCAAGGCAAUGAUGCAUAGCCGAGUUGAGAGACUGAUCGGCCACAAUGGGACUGAGACACGGCCCAUACUCCUACGGGAGGCAGCAGUAGGGAAUCUUCCACAAUGGGCGCAAGCCUGAUGGAGCAACGCCGCGUGUGUGAUGAAGGGUUUCGGCUCGUAAAACACUGUUAUAAGAGAAGAACGGCACUGAGAGUAACUGUUCAGUGUGUGACGGUAUCUUACCAGAAAGGAACGGCUAAAUACGUGCCAGCAGCCGCGGUAAUACGUAUGUUCCAAGCGUUAUCCGGAUUUAUUGGGCGUAAAGCGAGCGCAGACGGUUAUUUAAGUCUGAAGUGAAAGCCCUCAGCUCAACUGAGGAAUGGCUUUGGAAACUGGAUGACUUGAGUGCAGUAGAGGAAAGUGGAACUCCAUGUGUAGCGGUGAAAUGCGUAGAUAUAUGGAAGAACACCAGUGGCGAAGGCGGCUUUCUGGACUGUAACUGACGUUGAGGCUCGAAAGUGUGGGUA
rnacentral:rRNA from 1 species